rnacentral:rRNA from 1 species
CUCCUACGGGAGGCAGCAGUGGGGAAUAUUGGGCAAUGGGCGAAAGCCUGACCCAGCGACGCCGCGUGAGGGAAGAAGGUCUUCGGAUUGUAAACCUCUUUCAGCAGGGAAGAAGAAAGUGACGGUACCUGCAGAAGAAGUCACGGCUAACUACGUGCCAGCAGCCGCGGUCAUACGUAGGAUCCGAGCAUUAUCCGGAGUGACUGGGUGUAAAGAGUUGCGUAGGUGGCAUAAUAAGUAGCUAGUGAAAUCUGGUGGCUCAACCAUUCAGACUAUUAGCUAAACUGUUAAGCUCGAGACCGUUAGGGGUAACUGGAAUUUCUAGUGUAGGAGUGAAAUCCGUAGAUAUUAGAAGGAACACCAAUAGCGUAGGCAGGUUACUGGGACGGUUCUGACACUAAGGCACGAAAGCGUAGGGAGCAAACGGGAUUAGAUACCCUGGUA